CAUCACAGCCGUACCACUCUAAACACAUCCAAUCUUGUCUGAUCUCAGAUCCCAAGCAGGGUUGGGUUUGGUUUGUCCUUAGAUUAGAAGCUAUCAGGUACUAUCAGACACUUUGAAAU
rnacentral:rRNA from 1 species